ACGAACGCUGGCGGCGUGCUUCACCCCUGCCAGUCGAACGGAAAGGCCCUGCUUUUGUGGGGUGCUCGAGUGGCGAACGGGUGAGUAACACGUGAGUAACCUGCCCUUGACUUUGGGAUAACUUCAGGAAACUGGGGCUAAUACCGGAUAGGAGCUCCUGCUGCAUGGCGGGGGUUGGAAAGUUUCGGCGGUUGGGGAUGGACUCGCGGCUUAUCAGCUUGUUGGUGGGGUAGUGGCUUACCAAGGCUUUGACGGGUAGCCGGCCUGAGAGGGUGACCGGCCACAUUGGGACUGAGAUACGGCCCAGACUCCUACGGGAGGCAGCAGUGGGGAAUAUUGCACAAUGGGCGGAAGCCUGAUGCAGCAACGCCGCGUGCGGGAUGACGGCCUUCGGGUUGUAAACCGCUUUCGCCUGUGACGAAGCGUGAGUGACGGUAAUGGGUAAAGAAGCACCGGCUAACUACGUG
rnacentral:rRNA from 1 species